AUAAAUACUGAAUAACUAAAUCCCUCACACACAAUGGAAAAAACGCGCUUUUAUUUUGACACGCGCCCAUCCCCCCACAUCUCACGGUCUGACUGGAGUCGAGUUUCACAGAGCAACGCAACAGGAGGAUGACACAACAGUUAUAAGAGCAUUAACAGUAAGGACUAACAUUAACUGACUGUCUGUCCUCAACCAAAGUCAUUCAAGACCUGUAAAAGUUUAGCACAAACGUUUCCCGCGCAAGUUUGAAUCUCUCUCAGUCAGGGGAGAUUAACUGACUGACUGACUGUCUACAUGCCACCAAACAGUAAUUUAUACAGAAACCUUUUAAAGUAAGGACUAACAUUAACUGACUGUCUGUCUGUCUGUCUGUUCUCAAGCAAAGUCAUUCAAGACCUGUUAAAGUUUAGCACAAACGUUUCCCGCGCAAGUUUGAAUCUCUCUCAGUCAGGGGAGAUUGACUGACUGACUGACUGUCUACACGCCACCAAACAGUAAUUUAUACAGAAACCUUUUAAAGUCAUUCAAGACCUGUUAAAGUAAGGACUAAGGUUAACUGUCUGUCUGUCUGUCUGUCUGUCGGUUCUCAACCAAAGUCAUUAAAGACCUGUUAAAGUUUAGCACAAAAGUUUCCAGCACAAGUUUGGAUCUUUACCAUUGAGGGUGGCUGACUGUUCUCGACCAACCAUCAUUCACACGCAAAAACUUUAAAGAUAAGUAUGAACGUGCCCAGAGCAGUUUUCGAUCUUUACUAUUAAGGAGGCUGACUGACU